rnacentral:rRNA from 2 species
UCGAGCGGAGUUUUGAAAGCUUGCUUUUCAAAUCUUAGCGGCGGACGGGUGAGUAACACGUGGGCAACCUGCCCUUGAGACGGGGAUAACUCCGGGAAACCGGAGCUAAUACCGGAUAACACAUAUCUUCGCAUGAGGAUAUGUUAGAAGGUGGCUUUUAGCUACCACUCAAGGAUGGGCCCGCGGCGCAUUAGCUAGUUGGUGAGGUAACGGCUCACCAAGGCGACGAUGCGUAGCCGACCUGAGAGGGUGAUCGGCCACACUGGGACUGAGACACGGCCCAGACUCCUACGGGAGGCAGCAGUAGGGAAUCUUCCGCAAUGGACGAAAGUCUGACGGAGCAACGCCGCGUGAGUGAUGAAGGUUUUCGGAUCGUAAAGCUCUGUUGUUAGGGAAGAACAAGUACCUGUUAAAUAAGCAGGUACCUUGACGGUACCUAACCAGAAAGCCACGGCUAACUACGUGCCAGCAGCCGCGGUAAUACGUAGGUGGCAAGCGUUGUCCGGAAUUAUUGGGCGUAAAGCGCGCGCAGGCGGUUCCUUAAGUCUGAUGUGAAAGCCCACGGCUCAACCGUGGAGGGUCAUUGGAAACUGGGGAACUUGAGUGCAGAAGAGGAGAGCGGAAUUCCACGUGUAGCGGUGAAAUGCGUAGAGAUGUGGAGGAACACCAGUGGCGAAGGCGGCUCUCUGGUCUGUAACUGACGCUGAGGCGCGAAAGCG